UCCGUUUUGUCAACGGCAGUCUCAAUAGAGUGCCCAACUAAAUGCUGGCAACUAUUGAUAAGGGUUGCGCUCGUUGCGGGACUUAACCCAACAUCUCACGACACGAGCUGACGACAGCCAUGCAGCACCUUGCGCUCUGUCUGGUUUUACCCAGAAGGCCCCUUUCGGUUUCCUACCACCGACAUGUCAAACCCAGGUAAGGUUUUUCGCGUUGCGUCGAAUUGAACCACAUGCUCCACCGCUUGUGCGGGUCCCCGUCAAUUCCUUUGAGUUUUAGCCUUGCGGCCGUACUCCCCAGGCGGAGUGCUUAAUGCGUUAGCUGCGGCACAGAGCGGGUUGAAGACCGCCCCACACCUAGCACCCAUCGUUUACGGCGUGGACUAC
rnacentral:misc_RNA from 1 species